CGAUCGCACCACCCCAGCGUAGAGGCGGC
rnacentral:sRNA from 1 species